rnacentral:tRNA from 2 species
GGUCCCGUGGUCUAGCGGUUAUGACGUUCCCUUGACGUGGGAGAGAUCGCAGGUUCAAUUCCUGCCGGGACCA